rnacentral:rRNA from 1 species
ACCUACGGGAGGCAGCAGUGGGGGAUAUUGCACAAUGGGGGGAACCCUGAUGCAGCGACGCCGCGUGGGUGAAGGAGCGUUUCGGCGCGUAAAGCUCUAUCAGCAGGGAAGAAAAAAAGUCUUUGGCUUUGGACGGUACCUGACUAAGAAGCCCCGGCUAACUACGUGCCAGCAGCCGCGGUAAUACGUAGGGGGCAAGCGUUAUCCGGAUUUACUGGGUGUAAAGGGAGCGUAGACGGCAGCGCAAGUCUGGAGUGAAAUGCCGGGGCUCAACCCCGGAACUGCUUUGGAAACUGUGCAGCUAG